rnacentral:rRNA from 1 species
UACGUAGGGGGCGAGCGUUGUCCGGAAUCAUUGGGCGUAAAGCGCGUGUAGGCGGCCCGGUAAGUCCGCUGUGAAAGUCCAGGGCUCAACCCUGGGAUGCCGGUGGAUACUGUCGGGCUCGAGUCCGGAAGAGGCGAGUGGAAUUCCUGGUGUAGCGGUGGAAUGCGCAGAUAUCAGGAGGAACACCAAUGGCGAAGGCAGCUCGCUGGGACGUGACUGACGCUGAGGAGCGAAAGCAUGGGGAGCGAACAGG